rnacentral:rRNA from 1 species
AAUGAACGCUGGCGGCGCGCCUAAUACAUGCAAGUCGAGCGAGAAGACGUAGCAAUACGUUUGUAAAGCGGCGAACGGGUGAGGAAUACAUGGGUAACCUACCCUCGAGUGGGGAAUAACUAGCCGAAAGGUUAGCUAAUACCGCGUACGCUCCUUGGACUUCGGUUCAGGGAGGAAAGCGAUACCGUGGGUAUCGCGCUCUUGGUUGGGCUCAUGUCCUAUCAGCUUGUUGGUGAGGUAACGGCUCACCAAGGCUUCGACGGGUAGCUGGUCUGAGAGGACGAUCAGCCACACUGGCACUGCGACACGGGCCAGACUCCUACGGGAGGCAGCAGUAAGGAAUAUUGCGCAAUGGGCGAAAG